GUUGUAUGGUUAAGUGACUAAGCGUACACGGUGGAUGCCUGGGCAGUCAGAGGCGAUGAAGGACGUACUAACUUGCGAUAAGCGCAGAUAAGGCAGUAAGAGCCGUUUGAGUCUGCGAUUUCCGAAUGGGGAAACCCAACUGCAUAAGCAGUUACUGUUAACUGAAUACAUAGGUUAACAGAGCAAACCGGGGGAACUGAAACAUCUAAGUACCCCGAGGAGAAGAAAUCAACCGAGAUUCCGGUAGUAGCGGCGAGCGAACCUGGAUUAGCCCUUAAGCACUCGGUGAAGUAGGUGAACAAGCUGGAAAGCUUGGCGAUACAGGGUGAUAGCCCCGUAACCGACGCUUCAUCGAGCGUGAAAUCGAGUAGGGCGGGACACGUGAUAUCCUGUCUGAAUAUGGGGGGACCAUCCUCCAAGGCUAAAUACUCCUGACUGACCGAUAGUGAACCAGUACCGUGAGGGAAAGGCGAAAAGAACCCCUGUGAGGGGAGUGAAAUAGAACCUGAAACCGUGUACGUACAAGCAGUAGGAGCACCUUCGUGGUGUGACUGCGUACCUUUUGUAUAAUGGGUCAGCGACUUAUAUUCAGUGGCAAGGUUAACCGUAUAGGGGAGCCGUAGCGAAAGCGAGUCUUAACUGGGCGCUCAGUCUCUGGAUAUAGACCCGAAACCGGGUGAUCUAGCCAUGGGCAGGUUGAAGGUUGAGUAACAUCAACUGGAGGACCGAACCGACUAAUGUUGAAAAAUUAGCGGAUGACUUGUGGCUAGGGGUGAAAGGCCAAUCAAACUCGGAGAUAGCUGGUUCUCCCCGAAAGCUAUUUAGGUAGCGCCUCGGACGAAUACUACUGGGGGUAGAGCACUGUUAAGGCUAGGGGGUCAUCCCGACUUACCAACCCUUUGCAAACUCCGAAUACCAGUAAGUACUAUCCGGGAGACACACGGCGGGUGCUAACGUCCGUCGUGGAGAGGGAAACAACCCAGACCGCCAGCUAAGGUCCCAAAGUAUUGCUAAGUGGGAAACGAUGUGGGAAGGCUCAGACAGCUAGGAUGUUGGCUUAGAAGCAGCCAUCAUUUAAAGAAAGCGUAAUAGCUCACUAGUCGAGUCGGCCUGCGCGGAAGAUGUAACGGGGCUAAGCAAUACACCGAAGCUGCGGCAAUAUCUUUUAGA
rnacentral:rRNA from 1 species